ACAAAAGAAGUGGCGAAGUAGGUUCUUUAUCUUGUGAGCCCUUGUCGAUAUUACAGAGACAAGAACAAGUUCUUAGUGACUCUAGGUGUCAGAAACAAUGGACAAAUCCCUGGGCUUGCUCAUCCUUUGGUUGCAACUUGACUGGGUGAGCAGUAAACAGGAGGUGAAGCAGAGUCCUGAAGCUCUGAGCGUCCGUGAGCGGGACAGCGUGGUUCUCAGCUGCAAUUUCACAGAUAGUGCCAUUUAUUCCCUUCAGUGGUUUAGGCAGGACCCAGGGAAAGGGCUCACACUCCUGUUGUUAAUGCAGUCAAAUCAAAAAGAACAAACAAGUGGAAGAAUUAAAGUCUGGUUGGAUAUGUCAUCAAGACAGAGCACUUUAUACAUUGCAGCUUCUCAGCCCAGCGACUCGGCCACCUAUCUCUGUGCAGUAAGGCACAGUGCAUGAAAGUCACCUCUCUCCAAUACUCAUACUCUGCAGCUGGGGUUCCAACCACGUGUCCUAUCUUGAAGCUCAGGAAGCUUUUUCCAUCGAGGGGUUGUCUAAAUUGACUCUUUCCCCAGAUAGCAAAGCUCAUCUAUGUGUGUAUGUACACAUACAUAUACAUGUAUACAUUUAUAUACACAUAUAUAUAUCUUAAGUUAAAUUUGACCUUUAGAUAUUUAUCAACUUCAAUUUAAAUAACAGCUUUAUUGGGAUUAAUUCACAUGCCAUACAAUUCACUCUUUUAAAAUGAACAGUUACGUGCCAUCUCGUACAUUCACAGUGUUGUGCAGCCACCACUUCCACCUAGUUUCAAAACCUUGUCAUUACCCAGAAAGGAAACCACAUACCCAUCAAGCAAUUACUCACUGUUCUCGCCUCCCCUCUCAACCCAUGGUAACCUGCUUUGUCGCUCUGGGUUUACCCAUUCCGUUCAUUUCAUAUAAAUGGAAUCAUAAAGCCUUUUGUGUAUGGAUUCUUUCACUUAGCAUACUGUUUUGGAGGUCCAUGCAACUCAGGACCAACUGGAGAAAGGCAGAUAUUCACCACUACCCAAUCACAUAGGAUGCCUUACUUAUAGUUAGCCUGCUGCAUGUUCUCCAUUUUUUCUUUGUUUUGCUAGAAGUUUGUCAGUUUUACCAAUCUUUUUAGAGAACCAGCUCUUUUAUUGAUUUUCUCUACUGCUUUUCCAUUUUAAAUUUCAUUGAUUUAUGCCUUUAUUAUUUCCCUCCUUACACUUGUUUUGGAUUGAUUUUUCUUUUCCUUUUCUGGGUUUUUUGAGGUGAGCACUUAGAUAAUUGAUCUGAGACUUUUAUUCUUUCCUAAUAUUGGUGUCUAGUGCUAUAAAUUUCCCUCUCGGCACUACUUUGGCUGUGUCCCACAAAUUUUGAUAUAUUGUAUUUUCAUUUCCAUUCAGUUUAAUAUAUAUUUGAUUUCCUUUGAGACAUUGUGACCCUUAGCUUAAAAGUGUGUUAUUUAGUUGUUACAUAUUUGGAGAUUCUCCUGUUAUCUUUUUGUUACUUAUUUAUAGUUUUAUAUUAUUGUAAUCAGAGAACACACUUUAUGAUUUUAAUUCUUUGUUUUAAAUGAUUUUAUUUAUUUAUUCGAGAGAGGCAGAGACAUAGGCAGAGGUAG